AGCGAACGCUGGCGGCAGGCUUAACACAUGCAAGUCGAGCGGGCAUAGCAAUAUGUCAGCGGCAGGCGGGUGAGUAACGCGUGGGAACGUACCUUUUGGUUCGGAACAACACAGGGAAACUUGUGCUAAUACCGGAUAAGCCCUUACGGGGAAAGAUUUAUCGCCGAAAGAUCGGCCCGCGUCUGAUUAGCUAGUUGGUGAGGUAAUGGCUCACCAAGGCGACGAUCAGUAGCUGGUCUGAGAGGAUGAUCAGCCACAUUGGGACUGAGACACGGCCCAAACUCCUACGGGAGGCAGCAGUGGGGAAUAUUGGACAAUGGGCGCAAGCCUGAUCCAGCCAUGCCGCGUGAGUGAUGAAGGCCCUAGGGUUGUAAAGCUCUUUUGUGCGGGAAGAUAAUGACGGUACCGCAAGAAUAAGCCCCGGCUAACUUCGUG
rnacentral:rRNA from 1 species